rnacentral:lncRNA from 1 species
GGCAGGUAGGUUUCAUGGGUGUUUCAAGAGUGGAGUCUGACGUCACGGUUUGUCUGGGUGGAACAUGCAUGUACUUGCAGAGAUAUGUUCCCGUAUAGUGUAAUUGUAGGUGUAUUAAUUCAGGUGUCACCCUUUGGUGAUAGUAAUCAAACCCUAAUCAUGGUGCCGCCACAAGUCACAGAGACCAAAAUAACUUGCAGCAGAGUUAUGACAAACAAGGAUGGAAUCAGCUAAAGACCUGGCUACUUAAUCACCG